AUUGAACGCUGGCGGCAUGCCUUACACAUGCAAGUCGAACGGCAGCACGGAGCUUGCUCUGGUGGCGAGUGGCGAACGGGUGAGUAAUAUAUCGGAACGUACCCAAGAGUGGGGGAUAACGUAGCGAAAGUUACGCUAAUACCGCAUACGAUCUAAGGAUGAAAGCAGGGGAUCUUCGGACCUUGUGCUCCUGGAGCGGCCGAUAUCUGAUUAGCUAGUUGGUGAGGUAAAGGCUCACCAAGGCAUCGAUCAGUAGCUGGUCUGAGAGGACGACCAGCCACACUGGAACUGAGACACGGUCCAGACUCCUACGGGAGGCAGCAGUGGGGAAUUUUGGACAAUGGGGGCAACCCUGAUCCAGCAAUGCCGCGUGAGUGAAGAAGG
rnacentral:rRNA from 1 species